GGAUAAAUACAUGAAUUCCAGUGUAUCUUUACCAUACAUACGCAUGCGUGCAAAUGUGAAAAAUGUGAAAAACAAAGAUUCAAAACUUCACAGAAAGCAUCGGCUCCUGAUCUCGAGUUGCUUGCCAUGUGGAAUCACUCAUAAAACGCCAUGCUUCUUUAAAAUGAAUAGCAUAUGUCUGCCAUUCACAGUAUUAUGAAAUCUAAACACGGUCCGUAACUCAAGUGAGAAAAAAGGGCAAUCCGGUUUUGAAUAGCAUCUUACUCAUCAUAAUAAGCUGUAAAUCCAGCCACAUUAAUACUGUUGGUCAAAACCAAGCUUGUCUUUGUUUCUCAAGCUAUGGGUUUUAUUUGAAAUUNN
rnacentral:lncRNA from 1 species